UGUACACACCGCCCGUCACACCACGAGAGUUUGUAACACCCGAAGUCGGUGAGGUAACCUUUUAGGGGCCAGCCGCCUAAGGUGGGAUGGAUGAUUGGGGUGAAGUCGUAACAAGGUAGCCGUAUCGGAAGGUGCGGCUGGAUCACCUCCUUU
rnacentral:rRNA from 1 species